UCCAGAUGAGGGAACUGAGGCCCAGAGAAGCUGGAGCAGGGCCUGAGACGAUGAAAUGGAUCUGGAUGGAUACACUUUCAUGAUCUUCAAAUCAAAGGGUGGCCACUAACGGCAUUCGUGGAUAUCAGAUGUGUCAUUGCUGACCCAGAAGUAACAGGUGCUACAAGGGGUUAUGUAAUAAAGCUAUGACAUCAUAAGAAAUCUUUUAUGGAAAUGUGCAGAGAAUCCAUUCUCCGGUUCUGCCUGGAGGACCGCGACCCCUCCCACUUGCUCCAGCAGUCUUUGUGCCCCUUCCCUAGAUCUCUGUAAGUAGGGUUGCGUUUCCCUCAGCAAAAGCCAAAGUGGAGGGAGGCUGGGCUUUUAAGAUAAAAAUAUCAGACAUAAAGACAUCCAGUGCCAUAUCAGUCCUGGAUAGGCGAUAAACCAGCUCUCCCCCUUGGCAGGGACUAGAUCUUUGAUUUAUAGUGUAAAUCAAUUUACGCUUG